rnacentral:tRNA from 1 species
GCAGACAUAGUUUAAUGGUAAAAUAAUAACCUUCCAAGUUAAAGAUACGAGUUCAAUUCUCGCUGUCUGCU